AUUUCAUACGGGAGGCAGCAGUGAGGAAUAUUGGUCAAUGGGCGCGAGCCUGAACCAGCCAAGUAGCGUGAAGGAUGACUGCCCUACGGGUUGUAAACUUCUUUUAUAAAGGAAUAAAGUGAGGCACGUGUGCCUUUUUGUAUGUAUUUUAUGAAUAAGGAUCGGCUAACUCCGUGCCAGCAGCCGCGGUAAUACGGAGGAUCCGAGCGUUAUCCGGAUUUAUUGGUUUUAAAGGGAGCGUAGAUGGUGUGUUAAGU
rnacentral:rRNA from 1 species